CAGCACAUCCCUGGAAGAAACUGGGGAUGCUUUUCUCUGCUCUAUGUGCUCCCACUCACGGUGUGCUUCAUGGGAAGCAGAUUCUGAAGUGAGAGGAGCCCUGGAAAGGAGCGAGCCACUCUUGCUUCAGUGUCCAGAGGCCACCACCACAGAGCUGAGUCUGUGCCGCAUCACGGGAAUGAAGGAAAUGCUAAGAAAAUUCAGCACAGAGAUAACGCUGGACCCAGCCACAGCUAAUGCCUAUCUCGUGUUGUCGGAGGAUCUGAAGAGUGUGAAAUACGGGGGAAGCAGACAGCAGCUACCCGACAAUCCGGAAAGAUUUGACCAGUCUGCGACUGUGCUGGGUGCUCAGAUCUUCACCAGUGGGAGACACUACUGGGAAGUGGAGGUGGGAAACAAGACCGAGUGGGAAGUGGGCAUCUGCAAGGACUCUGUAAGCAGAAAGGGGAAUCUCCCCAAGCCACCUGGGGACCUGUUCUCACUAAUAGGUUUAAAAAUCGGAGAUGAUUACAGCCUCUGGGUCUCAUCACCUUUGAAAGGUCAGCACGUCAGAGAGCCUGUGUGUAAGGUUGGUGUCUUCCUGGACUAUGAAUCUGGACAUGUAGCAUUCUACAACGGGACGGAUGAAUCCCUCAUCUACAGCUUCCCACCAGCUUCCUUCCAAGAGGCCCUCAGGCCUAUCUUUUCCCCC
rnacentral:sRNA from 1 species